GAGCAUAACAAUAAACCUGUUCCCAUUAUCACAGCAGAGAGCCAACAAUAGGUUCUUCUGGAAAUUUGUAUCAAAAUUGCAGGGCGGACAUCAGUUUUGUUUUUUUAAAAAAAGAGUAAGUAAAAAUGUAUAGACAUUUAAGUCAUUUGAAAGUGGGGGGGAUUGUGAAAGCAAAAAUUGAGAUCUAAGGAGGGUAUAAUCACCAUUUCAGUGAGAUUAAAUACCUAUCCUGCAAAGAAUGGAUUUCUCUUUCUAAGAGUUGAUGUUAAAGGCCUCCAAUAUUAUCGCUUUUUGUAACUGAGAUUUCCACCUGAAGUCACCAGGAGUCAAACUCUACUCAAAGAAGAUUGUACUUUGUGUUUAAGGAAAAUAAAUUACCGGAAAUUCAAAUAAAACAUAAGAAAUGUAGCA